rnacentral:rRNA from 1 species
UACGUAGGGUGCAAGCGUUGUCCGGAAUUAUUGGGCGUAAAGAGCUCGUAGGCGGCUUGUCGCGUCGGCUGUGAAAACCUGGGGCUCAACCCCGGGCCUGCAGCCGAUACGGGCAAGCUAGAGUUCGGUAGGGGAGACUGGAAUUCCUGGUGUAGCGGUGAAAUGCGCAGAUAUCAGGAGGAACACCGGUGGCGAAGGCGGGUCUCUGGGCCGAAACUGACGCUGAGGAGCGAAAGCGUGGGGAGCGAACAGG